GUUAUUGUUUUCUAGGGUUCCGCAGCUGGUGCACAGCUGGUCUGGUCCGAGGGGAAACGCACGAACAGCAUCGUUCGUGUCUACACGGAGGGAUAAAAGCCCGGGAGGU
rnacentral:sRNA from 2 species